AACCAAGUCCAGUCAGAUCAGACUGGUUGUCCUGUUCGUCGUUCGUGCGGCAGAGGAGAUGCGGAGCUGCCGCCGGGCGCCGGCGACACUCUCUGGAACGACCCACUAUUGAAACAGAUCGCCCAGCUCCUAGCAACUCCGCCCCAAUCUCCUAGCACCGCGCCGCCCUACUUCCACUGCUCCCAUCUGCUGCUCAGCAUCCGCCGCCCGCCAAUCCGACCGCCGGCGCCGCUGCUUCCGUCUGAUUCCGCCAGUUCAAGUGCCUCUCCUCCCAACGGCGCCCCGAUCAGUUUGGUUUUGUCCCGAGACAGUGUCCGGCUCGGGUUCUGACGAGGUACGUGUCCUUACUGCCGAUUACAAUUGGUUUCCGAGUUCGAUUGCAACCCCGGCAAGGGGGAUCUAUAUAAAAUCAAUCAACCCAAGCGUAGACUUCGAGGGAUUUCUUGCCUGUGUUGGCAGAGAGAUAUCGAUUGCAAGCCAGCCAUAUUUUAGAUCUCCAUCCAUCUUCCUCGACGCUGAUGAACCAGUUAAUUGAUAGCCCGGAGGCGAUUGGGGGUAAGCCGCGGCAGGGGCAGGCCAGCUUAUGCGAGUACGCCGGCAAAAGGCUGAAGAAGCAGAAGCACCUCUAUCUGGUGCUGGAUGACUGGAGCAAAGGCUUCACCAUCCAUAAGAUUGACGACGAUGGCAACGACUCUGAUCUCAGGGAGCCGGGCGUCCUCCGGAUAUUCACACCUGUAACUGGUCGUAGCAUGAUCUUCGCUGCCAUGGGCAGCAACAUCCUCAUCACCACAAACCCACGCUGUGGACAGACCCCCAGCCUUGUUUACAAUACAGAGGCAGCAGGGCUGGCCGUUGGCCCUCCACUCCCUGAAUCACUGCUAGGUGAUGACUACAGGUCUAUUGCUACUGCCAGUAUGUUGUAUGCAUUCCCACAGUUCAUUACCAACCCGCAGCAAUUCUUGAAGGUCAUGUCGUGGGCACCCACGGACAACGAUGAUCCAUGGGCUCCAAGGCCAACCAUGGACUGGUGCUGGCAAAGCGUGCCCUCGGCAUGGCCAUUCACCAAUAAAGAAAUCAUCGACUCCUAUGCCUUGCACCCAGAUGGUCACACCAUCUUCUUCUCAGCGCACAGCAAGUACGACAACUCAUGCCCCAAGUCCAUUUGCACCUUUUCCUUCGACACCAAGCACCACCGGUGGAGCUCGCAUGGGGAAUGGUCCUUGCCUUUCAAUGGCCGAGGCUACUUUGACAGCAUGCUGGAUGCAUGGGUUGGGCUUCACAAGGAUGGCUAUAUUUGCUCUUGCCAAGUUGCCUCCCGCUCCAGCACAAGCCAGUUGCAGCCAGACUGCAAGAUGCUCCAGGAAAGGUUGCUCUGCAGUGCCCCUAACAGCCGAGUGCCAGCGCCGACAGUCACUUUAACACACAUGGGCGGCAACGCCAGGUUUUGCCUUGUGGAGUCUGUGUUGCGCGAUGGUGAUGAUGCUUCUGGUCGUGAUGCUUGCAUUCUCCACACCACCACGUUUGGCCUCAAGUACUCUCAUAAGGGAGAGCUGCAAAUGAUGAACCGCAUCACUAACUCCUAUACAGUGGCAAAGCAUGCCCACUUGUUUUCUCCUGUAGCGUUCUGGAUGUAGGAAUUUUUAAGCUCGUUGUAUGCAAUGCAUACUACGACCGUCCAGUACUCUGUUCUCUGGAUGUAAGCUAUGAUUUCUGGCAAUAAAAAGUUUGUUUCUCCUAUCAGUUGUAAAGAACCUACUGAGUUAAUUUCUUGCACGUCAGUUCUCGAAAAUGCAGAGAUGCCUGUAUUCAAAAGUUAAAUAUUUCGUGUGUUUUUGCUCCUUUCAGAGAUGCCUGUAUUUUUUUGCUCCUUUUAUAGAGCCCGGGAAGGGGGCUCUAUAAAAUCAAUGAAUCCAAUCGUAGACUUUUGAGAAUUUCUUGCCUGUGUUGGCAAAGAGGUACCGAUUGCAAGCCAGCCCAUCUCCAUCCAUCUUCCUCGACGCUGAUGAACCGGUUAAUUGAUAGUCCGGAGGCGAUUGGAGGUAAGCGGUGGCAGGGGCAGGCCAGCUUACGCGAGUGCGCUGGCAAAAGGCUGAAGAAGCAGAAGCACCUCUAUCUGGUGCUGGAUGACUGGAGCAAAGGCUUCACCAUCCAUAAGAUUGACGACGAUGGCAACCACUCUGAUCUCAGGGAGCCGGGCAUCCUCCGGGUAAACACACCUGUACCUGGUCGCUGCAUGACAUUUGAUGCCAUUGGCAGCAACAUCCUCAUCACCACCAACCCACGCUGCGGACAGACCCCCCAGCCUCAUCUACGACACCGAGGCAGCAGGGCUGGCCGUUGGCCCUCCCCGCCCGGAACCGCUGCUAGGUGACUGCCACGCGUCCAUCGCUACUGCCGAUACGCUGUAUGCAUUCCCAGAUCUCAUUACGGAUCCGCAACAAUUCUUGAAGGUCAUGUCCUGGUGACCCACGGACAACGACGACCCGUGGUCUGAGAGGCCAACCAUGGACUGGCGCUGGCAGAGCGUGGACUCGCCAUGGCCGUUCGCCAACAACGAGAUCAUCGCAUCCUACGCCCUGCACCCAGACGGGCACACCAUCUUCUUCUCGGCGAACAGCAAGUAUGACAACCCGCGACCCAAGUCCAUUCGCACCUUCUCCUUCAACAUCAAGCAAUGCCGGUGGAGGUCGCAUGGGGAAUGGUCCUUGCCUUUCAAGGGCCAAGGCUACUUCGACACCAUGCUGAAUGCAUGGGUUGGGCUUAACACAGAUGGCUAUAUUAGCUCUUGCCAAGUUGCCUCCCGCUCCAGCACAAGCCAGUCGCUGCCGGACUGCCAGAUGCUCCAUGAAAGGUUGCUCUGCAACCCACCUAACACCCGAUUUCCGACGCAAAGGCCACUCUCACACACGUCGGCAACGACGCCAAGUUUUGCCUUGCGGAGUGUGUGUUGCGCGACGGCGAUGAUGCUUUUGGCCGUGAUGGUUGUGUUCUCCACAUCACCACAUUUGGCCUCAAGUACUCUCAUAAGGGAGAGCUGCAAACCAUGAACCGCGUCACGAACUCCUAUACCGUGUCAAAGCAUGCCUUCUUGUUUUCUCCUGUAGCGUUCUGGAUGUAACAAUAAAAGAGGAGAAAUGGAUCUAAAAAUACAUCAACUUAAGUCUUAUACACACGUAGAUGAGAUGAGAUGAGAUGCGACGGUCUUAUUCUUGGAAUGUAUCAAUUACUUUUUGUUGUUUAAAAGGUGGUACUGUUCUGUUUUAUUGCUACUACCAGGAGAAUAUGAUCUCUUCAGGAACGCCCAAAAGCGAAUGAAAAAGUUAGUGCUAUUUUUAUUAAGUAAGUCAAUGUAUAAGACUUUUGACUCAGAACUUCCUAAUUACCCUUGAAUAUAAGUUCCGUCCUACGAAUUUUAAAAGUUGCACUCUGACUAUGAAAGAGUUUUGCCAUCUAGAAUAUCAAUAAAUACACCAUGAAACAUAUUUCAUGAUAUAUGUAUCGAUAUUGAUUUCCUUGUGUGUAAUUAAUAUUUUCUUGUAUAAACUAAAGACAUCAUUUAUAUGCCAUAUAUUUUUUAUAAACUUCUGACAUAAUUACUCAUGUAGCGAUCUGGAUGUAGGAGCUACCUGUUUUGGCUUGUAUACAAUGCAUACUAUGUCGUUCCAGAUCUCUGGAUGUUAACUAUGAUUUCUGGCAGUACAAAGCUUGUUUCUCUUGUAAAAUAUAUGUGUAGAACCUGCUGCGAACUGCUGAGAUGACAAUAUUCAAGAACUAGAAGGUUGUGUGUGAUUUUGCUCCUUCUAAUAUCUGUUACACCGGUCUCUCGAUAAGCAUAAAAAUAGUUUUAUCACUGCAGAAAAAAUAAACCAAUAUGUUUACAAACUAAUUUGUAAGACGUAUGCUGGUGCUAACAGGAUCUUGGAAUGCCGGCAAUUAGAUGGGCACUGUAUUUCUAGAUACUAAAACUGAGGUUGCGGCUUCUAAGUCCAAACACAGAAGUUGUUCCCUAUGGAUAAUGUACAAACCACAUGUUGAUGGAAUUUAUAAAGCGCUUUCUUGAAACAAUCUAAUAGAGCAAGAAAUACAGUUUGCAGAAGGCUUCAUGGAUCAGCUGCAUGAAGACCGGCUUGUGGACAACAUGGCAAGUUCUUAAGUCAGUGAUAACUUGAUAUUUGGCUCAGUUUAGCACCUUAUGCAGGCGAUAAUAUUAAUUUUUCAAUUUGUUAGCGGUGACUGCCUGACUGAAAUUGCAAGUAUUUGUUUUAGUCCGCCCUUGUACUGAACCGGCUGAGGUGAAUUAAUAUACAAUGAUUUUGAUUUUAAUUCCUAUACUUCUGCUAGAAGUACAAAUCUGCUCAACCGUACCAACUCUUGUCAUAUAAUUAGAAGAUUGGCAUUACUGGAGAACCCAAAUUGUUUUGUGUAACAAACAUUGACUGGGAUGGUCAAGAACACUCAAGAUGGUCCAAAAAAAAACAGCAGCAGGUAAAAACUUUGCUGGCUUUUUUGAUAGAUGUUUCAUGGCUACGUAUCUUAUGAUAGUUUUACUUUCUUACUUUUCAGUUGUAUAUAAGUUUAUCUCCCAUGUCAUUUAUAUGCUGCUUAUUUCAUGAAUAUUAGUUGCUUGAUCAUGCUGUUUGUAUAUACUAGUACAUAAUUUCCUGUUAGCAUCACUAGUCAUUUUGACAGAAAAUCUUCUUCAGCCAACAGUAGAGGAGCAAAAAGUUACUCUUGUACCUCUGAAGUGAAGAAGUGUGAAACGAUGCUCAAAUACAGUUGAAGCAGUGAAGGUUCAAGCUCAUUGCAUUCCCGGGAAAAUUGGCACCAUAAGUCUGUUAACUUAUGCUAGGAAGUAACAAACUAAGCACAAGUGUUCGUAUUCCCUUUCAAGAUGUAACGAUCUAAAGACACGGCGAGAUCCAAAAGUGACCCUGAAGAGAUCUUUUAUGACUGGUAGAAAGCGGCACAUACAGAAGAAUUGAUUGUUUAUCUUUUGGAUAACUCAGUAAUUCUGCAGGAUGUAUUCUACUAGAGAUAAUAUUAUUGGAACUGCGUGUUCUUGUCUUAUGCUUA